CAGCAGCCCGCCACCAACGCAACUGAUACGGCUGGUUAUAUUUAAAGUGUGAUUAUAGGUGAUUAUAUUUGAAGUGUUUAUUACUAACUCUAUGUUAUUUAUUAAGCAUUUAUAUACCUAAUGCCCCAAAAGAGAGGCAACUGUACGAAGUAUGUUAUUGUUAACUAUGUUUUGUUUACGUAAUAAUUCUUGUGAACGUAGUUUGUACUUGCGAUUCGUGCAACUCGUCGCAUUACAUUACCGAUGACUCGGCACCCGCUGCUGUGACACAGUGCGUUGCUAACUACUAGGAUUAUAUAUUAUAUAGAUAUAUUGUAUAAUUUUAAACUUAAAAUUUUUAUUGUAACAAAAAUUUUUUUAAGGGGAGGAAUAUUGUUGGGACACGUAAGCGCUUGCGCAUGCAGUUAUUGCAUUACACUGCACUAGUUGCCCGGCGCCGGUCUUUAUGUAAACACAUGUACCAUCUUACGGAAUAAACGGUGUUUUCAUUACUGUGCAUUAGUUCUUUAUUACUGAAGUCACAAUUGGUAACAACAUCUACAGUAGUGAUCCAAAAUUCACCCAUCAAAAGGGAACGUGAGCUGGGUUUAGACCGUCGUGAGACAGGUUAGUUUUACCCUACUGAUGGCUUGUCGUUGCGAUAGUAAUACUGCUCAGUACGAGAGGAACCGCAGUUUCGGACAUUUGGUUCAUGCACUCGGCCGAGCGGCCGGUGGUGCGAAGCUACCAUCCGCGGGAUUAUGCCUGAACGCCUCUAAGGCCGAAGCCAGCCUAGCCGAAUCCGGCAAGGAUAUGCUCACUGU
rnacentral:ncRNA from 1 species